UACGGAGGAGGCAAGCGUUAUCCGGAAUGAUUGGGCGUAAAGCGUCCGCAGGUGGCAAUGUAAGUCUGCUGUCAAAGCGUCUGGCUCAACCAGAUAAAGGCAGUGGAAACUAUAUAGCUAGAGUAAGGUAGGGGUAGAGGGAAUUCCUGGUGUAGCGGUGAAAUGCGUAGAGAUCAGGAAGAACACCGGUGGCGAAAGCGCUCUGCUGGACCUUAACUGACACUGAGGGACGAAAGCUAGGGGAGCGAAUGGG
rnacentral:rRNA from 1 species